rnacentral:rRNA from 1 species
GGCCAAGUUUUUAAGGGCGCAC